GAAACCCAAAAGAUCGAAUGGGGAGAUUCAUCGUCAGCUCAUUUUGUAUAUGUAUGAGUUAUGAUGUGAGUUACUCNUUGUAGUAUUGCUCGCACGUACUUAUGCAUUUAUUUGCAAGGUGUUGUCGGCGUGCACUUCUCCCCUAGUAGGACGUCGCGACCCGUUGGGUAUCGGUCUACGACCCGAGUNGGUAGACUUNUAAUGUUUUNAUAAUAUUAAAGACCCUUGGUGUUUUCUGACCGGCUGCCCGGCGGUAUUCGUACGGUAUUUAGCCGCAUUUANUNUUGC
rnacentral:rRNA from 1 species